rnacentral:rRNA from 2 species
UCGAGUCGGCCUGCGCGGAAGAUGUAACGGGGCUAAACCAUGCACCGAAGCUGCGGCAGCGACACUGUGUGUUGUUGGGUAGGGGAGCGUUCUGUAAGCCUGUGAAGGUGUGUCGUGAGGCAUGCUGGAGGUAUCAGAAGUGCGAAUGCUGACAUAAGUAACGAUAAAGCGGGUGAAAAGCCCGCUCGCCGGAAGACCAAGGGUUCCUGUCCAACGUUAAUCGGGGCAGGGUGAGUCGACCCCUAAGGCGAGGCCGAAAGGCGUAGUCGAUGGGAAACGGGUUAAUAUUCCCGUACUUGGUGUUACUGCGAAGGGGGGACGGAGAAGGCUAUGUUGGCCGGGCGACGGUUGUCCCGGUUUAAGCGUGUAGGUGUGUGUUCCAGGUAAAUCCGGUUCACUUUAACACUGAGGCGUGACGACGAGGCACUACGGUGCUGAAGCAACAAAUGCCCUGCUUCCAGGAAAAGCCUCUAAGCAUCAGGUAACAUCAAAUCGUACCCCAAACCGACACAGGUGGUCAGGUAGAGAAUACCAAGGCGCUUGAGAGAACUCGGGUGAAGGAACUAGGCAAAAUGGUGCCGUAACUUCGGGAGAAGGCACGCUGACACGUAGGUGAAGUGAUUUACUCAUGGAGCUGAAGUCAGUCGAAGAUACCAGCUGGCUGCAACUGUUUAUUAAAAACACAGCACUGUGCAAACACGAAAGUGGACGUAUACGGUGUGACGCCUGCCCGGUGCCGGAAGGUUAAUUGAUGGGGUCAGCGCAAGCGAAGCUCCUGAUCGAAGCCCCGGUAAACGGCGGCCGUAACUAUAACGGUCCUAAGGUAGCGAAAUUCCUUGUCGGGUAAGUUCCGACCUGCACGAAUGGCGUAAUGAUGGCCAGGCUGUCUCCACCCGAGACUCAGUGAAAUUGAACUCGCUGUGAAGAUGCAGUGUACCCGCGGCAAGACGGAAAGACCCCGUGAACCUUUACUAUAGCUUGACACUGAACAUUGAGCCUUGAUGUGUAGGAUAGGUGGGAGGCUUUGAAGUGUGGACGCCAGUCUGCAUGGAGCCGACCUUGAAAUACCACCCUUUAAUGUUUGAUGUUCUAACGUGGACCCGUUACCCGGGUUGCGGACAGUGUCUGGUGGGUAGUUUGACUGGGGCGGUCUCCUCCUAAAGAGUAACGGAGGAGCACGAAGGUUGGCUAAUCCUGGUCGGACAUCAGGAGGUUAGUGCAAUGGCAUAAGCCAGCUUGACUGCGAGCGUGACGGCGCGAGCAGGUGCGAAAGCAGGUCAUAGUGAUCCGGUGGUUCUGAAUGGAAGGGCCAUCGCUCAACGGAUAAAAGGUACUCCGGGGAUAACAGGCUGAUACCGCCCAAGAGUUCAUAUCGACGGCGGUGUUUGGCACCUCGAUGUCGGCUCAUCACAUCCUGGGGCUGAAGUAGGUCCCAAGGGUAUGGCUGUUCGCCAUUUAAAGUGGUACGCGAGCUGGGUUUAGAACGUCGUGAGACAGUUCGGUCCCUAUCUGCCGUGGGCGCUGGAGAACUGAGGGGGGCUGCUCCUAGUACGAGAGGACCGGAGUGGACGCAUCACUGGUGUUCGGGUUGUCAUGCCAAUGGCACUGCCCGGUAGCUAAAUGCGGAAGAGAUAAGUGCUGAAAGCAUCUAAGCACGAAACUUGCCCCGA